ACCAAAAAUUUCUUCUCUAUUUUUUAAGACCAGUAUAUGCACUUAAAGUUUAUUUCAAGAAAUAAAAAUGUCUUUGAAACUGAAAAGAGUUCAAAAGAACUAGCAAGUUUUAACAACUAGGUUAGAUGUAGUCCGUAACAUUUCUUGCUAAAAUGUUGGGAAGAUAGGGUGAAAUUGUUAUAAAGACACUCCACUGUUCUGAAUAUCUUCUUUCAGGAAUGUCCCAUCUUCUAUUCUAGAAGAAAAAUAUUCUGAGAAAAAUAUUUGAGAUUUAUAUUCAGCUGAUACAUGGCAGUUUCCCAUUGGGGGUUGUGUCUCAAGAAGAAGAAAGCAAGGAAGAAACUUACUCAGACUAUGGAAACACAUGUAGAAGUUUAAGAAACCCAAAUCUACAGAAGGCUAAAUUGAGAAAAUGUCCGGCUAUGUUGAAAACAACAACAACAACAACAACAACAACAACUCUUGUAUGCUCUAGCUGAAUGCCUUUAGGGUGUAAGGUCCAUCCAAAACAAUAAAUACUUAGGCAGUGCUUCCUUACAGGUGUGGGGAGGAAGGCCAUGGCUGAGUGAAUACCUCAUUCCCUCGGGGCUCUGCUCAGCACUUUCGGCUGUGGGACCCCAUGACCUGGUUCUGGGCAUAGCUCAGUGAUCUCGAAACUGUUAAGCCUCACAUAUCCCUUCUUAAUCCCCACUUUAUCAGUAAAAAUUCUCGUACACGUGGGUUGCAUGAAGAGAGACCUUAACCUUUCUCCAGGGGAAGCCUGCCUGUUACGUUCAUUAUUGGUGCUCCUAGAAAGAUCUGCACCAGGAUGCAUUCUCUUGACCUCUCCCUUAUUUAGUGUCACCCGUAACUCUGAUAUUAACUGAUAUUAACAGAAGAUGCUAUAACUACAGCCAGCUCUCUGGUAGAGCCAAAGAAAGGCCCACGACUCCUUAAUGGUGUCACUUAAAGGUGGCAGGCAUUAAAAAACGUAGCUCAACCAAGGGUCGCAGCAGGUUUCUCUCCCUUGUAGCAAUAAACAAAGUAGUGGGUAGAAAGCAAGGGCCACCCGGGAAGGAAGCAGCAGUUUCAGAUAGGAAACUGCCUCAGAAUGCCUUGUCUGCUUUUCAUGAUAUAUUUUCAUCCACUUGGUAUAUUUCAGUGAUAUUCCAGAGAGGCUUAUCUGAAUUGGAUGGAUGGUUUCUCCAGCCAUGCAAUUUGCAUUUUGGAAUGGCAAUCCAUCUUCUUUAAAAUUUUACUUAUUUAUUUAUUCCACCAGAGAGAAGGUGGAAAGGAGCAAAAGCAAGCAAGAUUCUGAAUCCUGAAUAUAGAACCCAGAGAAAUCUAUGGGAUUUGGCAAAUGCAAGACUUCAGUAAUAUCCAGCAAUCUACAAGCAUGUGGGCUCUAUUGUGUUGUAGGUAAUCUAGCUGUGCAGCUUCCACAUAAACUGAUACGAUCCCUGAGAAUGAAGCUUUACUAUGAAGGGAAAUAGGUAGGGCCAGGUGGUGUUUGUGCACACCAAGAUGGGAAGGGGCAAACCUAUCUCUGCUGGCUAUCGCUCAUUUUCUCAAAUAAGAGGGAAAUGACUGCAGUUCAAUAAUUUAUUAGUCUUCAGUUGUCAAAGAGAUUGAAUUAGCAUUUGAUUACAUGGAAUUUUAAUUUUAUGGCCAAGCUUAUUCUAUUGAUCUACCAGUUUCAGAUGUCAGCUCCAGUAUGUCUACAAAAGAAUUAAGAGCUAAAAACAAAAAAAAAAAAAAAAAAAAAAACAACCACUUCCUUUAUUCUUUAAUUUAAAUUCAGCUCUGUUCCCUUAUUUUUUAUGUCAAAAGUUUUUGAGUUUACCAAACACCUUCAUAGACACUAUAUUUCUGUCUACUUUUCCCCACAUCAUUGGUUAAGAAAGUACUAAAUAUUUAUGGUAAAUGUUUUCAAAAUCCUUCCAUUAUUGAUUCUUUGAAAACGAACUGGAAAAUAAACAGAUGGGGGGAGGCAGUACAACUUUACAAGAUGCUUUAGAUUCCCUAUGAUUUAAUGCCAUCUACAUUUUUAUUCUAUUAAAUGAAUGGUAGCCUUCUAGUUUCUUCUACAGCAUCACUUUCUACUACUCAGGCUUUAAAAAAGUUUCAUCUUAAGAGUGCCAUCCUCAAAUCCUUUAAAUAAGUACAGAGGAAAAUUUUAAUGCUUUUUCUUAACUUCCAGAUGACUUAAACUCUUCAUUCAGUCAAGCUGAAUGAUCUGUUACUCCAUUUAUCAUCGUGUAUGGCAUGGGAUGCUGUGUUUUUUUGUUAGUUUUGAGGUUUUCUAAUAGUCUUUCCUUUUAGAUUCCAAUUCAUAAAUUAAAAAUCGUAAGCCAUGGGUAGCUUGCUAGUUUUGGGUUAUAAUAUCCAAAGCUGUCUGUUCCCUGAACCUCACUGGCAUUUCCGCCUUGGAAGGCCCUUACCGGUCAGUCCAAACGCUCUCAUUAGUUAAGGUAGGAGAACAUCUUGUUAUUGUCAGCAUCAAAUAGCUCAAGUUGCUUUUCUUCUGGUGUCUCUUCUCCUAGAAGACUCUGUAUUUCAUUAUAAGUUAAAUAUCCAUUUGCAUUGUUGUCAGCACCAUAGAAAAACACUUGAAGAUCUAUGAAAAUUAAAGCCUUUGCUUAUUUCAACUCAGAUUUUGAAUGUCAACCCAAAUACCUCUCGCCCUUCAGAACAGCACUGUGUCCUCAUUGUGGUUGUUUUAUUUUAUUUUUUUCCAUUUCUCUCACAUACUUCGGUCAUCAUUAGUUUCCAUUUUGCCUUUUGCUGUAUAUCUCUUCAACAAAUCAACUCUUCCUUUCCUUUGCCGGUUUGUCCUCUCUCUCUAUUCUGAAUUAUCUGAUUAUUCACUUUAAUAAUUAUCCUUCUGUUAUUUGUAUUCUUAUAGUGCUCUUGUAGUUAACUAUAAACUCAGUGUCUUGUUUUAUACUUGUUUCAUUUAUUAUUUAAACAUUUUAAUGGAAUAUUCUCCUUCAUGUAUAUUACAGUUUUUGAUACCUGUUGGAUCUUAGUUCCCCCUAAAAUGUUACUGAAAACAUCCAUUUGACUAAUUGUAAUGUUCUUUUUAUUCUAAGUACUUGACUUACCUUGCUUACUACAUUCAUUUCCUACGUCCUAUUUGUCUAACAUUUCUUAAUAUUACAUCAGAAGAUGCCUGCUCUUCUUGCUAUCAGCUUUGAACUUACCAAAUCUCUUACGCUAGAUUGGAUAUCAUCUCUUAAGUUUAUUUUAGUUUACAUAUUAUCAAAUGUUGUUUCUUCAUUUAUAAUGCUACUAAAUAACAUGCCUUUGUUGGAAUUCUUAUUAUCUUCUCGAGUUCACUGUUAUAAACACUGCCUUUAUUAAAACACAAUCAAACAUUG